UGGCCAGGGAGGGGCGGCCAAGGCUCCUACACGCACCUAAGGGGCGCACGGCUGCAGCAGCUCGCUCGCCCCGGGGCGCGCAGGGUAGCUGAGUCCAAGUCCCCCGCGCGGGCGUUUGGGGUGGGGGGGGGAUGGAGGGAGAGGCGCUGGCACCUAAGCCGGUGUAAUAGGACCCGGGUCUCGUAAGCCCUCCUCCCCAGGCACAGCCUCUCCGCUCCCAGCCCCUCUUCCCAGCCUUAAUUAUCCUUUCAGCGCCGUUUCCCCUCAGCUGAGUCCGCACGGCCAGAGAGAAAAGGCUCUCUCGCCAUCCCCUCCCGCCCGCACACAGACCCUCCUUUCAGACCCGCCCUCCCGUUCCCUGGGACCCAUUUCGGAGCCCUGGCUCUCGCUGGGCGGGAACCGGCGUGACGAAUUCCGCCCAAGGUGUUGAUUAUCCAUCCCAACCCAGCCUCUGGCUCGCCUCCCACUUCGCCCCGGCUCCCACCUCCGGGCCGGGCGCUGGGGACGGCACCCCCAAGCCCCCCACCCGCCGGGCCCCGCGCUGCAGCUGCGGAAAGGAGCGCCAGCGUGCUCGGUGCCACGUCGGAGUUGGCUCCCGGGCCGUUGCAGCUGCCUGCGCUGCAGCGCGCGGUCCCCACGCACGCCCUGCCCCCGGGCGGCGGCGAGGAGAGGGACGCGCGCCCUCCUCCCGCUGGGGUCCCCGAGCGCCACCGCCUGCGUCAGGGACCCCUGGCCCGAGGAAGGCUUCCGGAGCCGGGCAGAGCCCGGGCCGACCCAGCCUGACACUUUCCUGGGGUCCGGGGAGUGCAAAGGAGGGGAAGCGAGGGAAAGUGGGAGUGGCCGAGCGAGGCCGGUAGCUGCGAGGAGGUGGCCAAGGACCCUUCUUCUCGGGGGUCCUGGCUCUCCGGAGCUGGGAGCCCGGAUCGCUUUAACCCUUUGCUUUCCAAGUCCCCCUCCCCUGAUAUCGGAAAGUCUCUUUUCUUUUUCGUAUCAAGAAAAGCCCGGUGAAGACUCAGCAGAACCCAGGAAGCGCAGAAUCGGGAGAAAGUCUUUGGCUGGGGCUGGUUCAAGUCCCUGGUUCAAUGGGCUGCUGGAAGCCAGGACUGGGUAAUUCUUUCCAGACGUUUUGACUUCUCCUUCCUCGCUGUUGUUGCCUUUCUGCCUCCUCCAACUUAAGGGGGUCUUAACAAGUGAGCUGAUGAAGAACUUGGAUAGAAGAAACGAUUUGCCCAAGGUUACCUGACUUACAGAAGGAGCCCCACACUUUGUUUUCCCUCCAGUCUAGUGUUUUCUCAAAUACACCACUUUGCUUUUUAACUAAAUAAUGGCUUUCCACCACUACAUCCUAAUGAAGAAUUCUGCCACAGGUAUUGGCUUCUUAGAAUCACUGUUUGUGCAGGCGGUCUCUCCUUUUGCCAGUGGGAAAACACAAAUGGGAGAAGAACAACCUUCUGUUUCUUCAAUGGCCUCUAACAAACCAGCGACACCUGAGGGUGAUUCAUUUUUUCAUUUGGUGAAGAUUGCAAGUUUGUUGAAAAUCUUGUCACUUGUUUCGAUGAGGAAGCAAUGUGUGCUGCCUAAGUAGGCAAUAGUUUUUAAGUAAAAACGUGUUAAUUCAUUUUAGGCAGGGCCAGAUUCUGCCCUAUUCUUUGACUAAUCCCUAGUAUCUAGCAUACUGCCCGCUAUGUGUUAGAUCGUAAACGUAUACAUAUUUAUAUACAAGGAGGGAAGGAGCUAAGAAGAAAAGGAGUCUAGUGCUGAUAUCUUCUACAAAAUAUUAUUCUUUAACAAUAACUGUCAUUGGCUUAUUUUUAUUUUGAUAGAUGAAUUUUUAAUCAUCCCAAACACCCACAAUAACUGACCCAAGUAAGAUUAGAUCAAUCUUCAAAGGUUCUUUGUUCUUUUAUCUCUCUCCAAAUACUCCUUUUAUAUUUUGAAAUAUGGGCUCUAAUCUAAAAGGCUAAGAGUUUUUAUUUGGGGGGGAAAUGGUGUCAUUAGGAUCAGUAGGGGAAAAUGAUUGUGGUUUAAAAAUAAUUGUUUAAACAAAUUGGCGUAAAUCGUGCUUCUUCUUUCACAAGUACUCCUAUUCUUUGUAGAGACUAACAUAAAAAUGUUUUCUUUUGCUAUAAAAAUAAUAUCAAGUUGAAAUAAAUAUAAUUAUAUAUAAUGUAUAAGACAAAUUUAUAUAACAAUAUAAACAUACAAAGAAAUACAUACAGAUAUAUAUAAAUUCUUUCUCCCCACCCGCACAUGUAUCCACAUUCUUUAAAUAAAUUGACCAUAGAGGGAGAAUUUACUAGGCAGUCCUGAUUUCAAAUACUCUAAAGCUUUAUUCACUUAAUAUAUAUCAUACCAUUCAUAUAAGUCUUGAGUCUAGGAGAAAAGUGGCGUCAAUGCCUACAGCUAAUAGAAAUAAUGGGAUCCUACAGGAUAAUAAGGAAACUUAUUUGCAUAUAUCAGUCAGCUGAGACUAAGUUAUACUACAGUACAAAAAAUGACCCCAAAUCACAGUGACUUAUGAAAGCAAAGGUUUCUUUCUCACUGUAUUUGUGUGAUUGACUGAGGCUCUGCUUCAUGGCUUUUAUUUUGGUGUCUAGGCUGAGAGAACAGCUCCUGCCUGGGACAUUCAAAGGAAAAAGAGAAGGUGGUAGAGGAGGCUGGAACCGGGGAAUCUUGUGCUCAGAAGUGCUUCUGCUCAUAGUUCAUUGGUCUAAACAAGUCACAUGGUCAAAACUGACAUCAAACGGGUGGAAAGUCUAAUUCUUCCACAGGGAGGAGCCCUCCCAAGGGAUAGGACCUCUAGGGAGAGGAAUGGCAACUAUACUGCAUUUAUUAUGUUGUGCAGUGAUACCCUCUGGUACGUCCUCCCAGCUAGAGUUUAGGAAGUCAUCUUUUUGUCUGCCACUUGCCUCUUUCAAUGAACACUCAAGUUGUUUUAAUUUCAUACACUUCUCAAAUCUAAUCUCCCCUCUGUAACUUGCCUACCAUUCCAUUGUUCAGGUCCUCAGUAUUUAUACAGGUCUUCCGAUCGUAGAUUAAUUCUAUAUAUAGCCACCACUGUGAAGUAUGCAGAAUGCACAGAUCUAAAAUGUCAUUUUUCUCUCCCAGCCUCUCUCUCUGGCAAAUAAAUAAAUAAAAUCUUAAAAAAAAAAAAGGGGGGGGGAGGCGCCUGGGUGGCUCAGAUGGUUAAGCAUCUGCCUUCGGCUCAGGUCAUGAUCUCAGGGUCCUGGGAUCCAGUCCCACAUCCGGCUCCUUGCUUAGCAAGGAGCCUGCUUCUCCCUCUGCCUGCCACUCCCCCUGCUUGUACUCUCCCCCCCUCUCUCUCUGGCAAAUAAAUAAAUAAAAUCUUUAAAAAUAAAUAAAUUAAUUAAUUAAUUAAUUAAUUAAUUAAUUAAUUAAAUAAAGUGUCAUUUUUCUGGGGCUGGCUCAGUUGGUAGAGUUUGUGGCUCUUGAUCGUGGAGUCAUGAGUUCAAGCCUCAUAGUGGACAUAGAGCUUACUUUAAAAAAUCAACUGGAAUUAGUAAAAGCUUUUAAAAAAAAAUCAAUGUUAUAAAAAUAGGUCGUUUAUUUUCACAAAUACAAUUGUAUGGUAAAUAGAACAUAUGAUACCAGAGGUAAAAAUAAGUCCAACUGUAUUUUUAGAAGUCCAAUUAUAAUAGCAAUAUAGUAGACCUAAAUGUAUUAAGUUUACUUGGAUAAAAAGCCAGAUUUCCAUUUUGCCUAUCACACACAAACACACACACACACAGACACAAACGCACACAGAACUCUACCACUUUUUUCCCGAAACAGACACAUUUUCAACAACACCAAAAAAAGCCAAGCCAAAAAGAGGGAAAGAAAGAAAGAAAGAAAAGAAAGAAAGAAAGAAAGAAAGAAAGAAAGAAAGAAAGAAAGAACUAAUAGAAAUUUGGAAAUGGUGGAUAAUACACACCAAAUGAAAGCCACAAUAGCAAUUUAAUAUCAGUUGCUACUUUAUUCUAUUUAGUAGUAAAAUUGUAGGUACUUCUGUUUCCUAUAUUUUUUAUUUAUUGUGGCAAUUAAAAAUAUCCUUUUUUGUCUCUUAGUCAUAUAAAUUUGUAAAUCAGUAGUAGUAGUAAAAUAAAUGUGGGAUUUUAAGAACAUAUAAGUGAAUCUAAGUUAGUAUGUAAGAAUUUUAAAAAAAUUUCUCUCAUACUUAUUUAGAUAUUUCUUCUUUUCUAAAGCAGGCAUGUAGAACUAUAAAUUUCCCUCUCAACACUGUUUUAACUACUCCCCACAUGCUUUGAUGUGCUGUAUUUUUAUUUUCAUUCCAUUCGGUAUAUUUUCUUAUUUACCUUGAAAGUUCCUCUUUGACCCAUGGAUUAUUUAAAAGUAUGUGGUUUAGUUUCCACAUGUUUGGUGGUUUUCUUUCCUUUCUGUUAUCAAUUUCUAGUUUGAUUC